ensembl:lncRNA
UUUGGAAAUGCUCAGGACCGGAAGCGAUUCCAAAUGCAAAACAUUAAAACGGUAACGGCCAAACGGUGUUUUAAACGUUGUGAGCGCCCUACUCUCUGAUGACAGCGGUAUCUGCCAGAAACCUGAGCGGGCAUCCAGCUUUGUGAAGACUUACCCUGAGAGACUACCAACGAGCUGAAAUAGAUGUGCCUGUACCAGUUGAGGAUGAGUUGGUUGUGCCUGUAUCAGUGUCAGCAGUUGUGGAUGAGUUGGUUGUGCCUGUAUCGGCGUCAGCAGUUGUGGAUGAGUUGGUUGUGUCUGUAUCGGCGUCAGCAGUUGUGGAUGAGUUGGUUGUGCCUGUAUCGGCGUCAGCAGUUGAGGAUGAGUUGGUUGUGCCUGUAUCGGCGUCAGCAGUUGUGGAUGAAUUGGUUGUGCCUGUAUCGGCGUCAGUAGUUGUGGAUGAGUUGGUUGUGCCUGUAUCGGCGUCAGCAGUUGUGGAUGAAUUGGUUGUGCCUGUAUCGGCGUCAGUAGUUGUGGAUGAGUUGGUUGUGCCUGUAUCGGCGUCAGCAGUUGAGGAUGAGUUGGUUGUGCCUGUAUCGGCGUCAGCAGUUGUGGAUGAGUUGGUUGUGUCUGUAUCGGCGUCAGUAGUUGUGGAUGAGUUGGUUGUGCCUGUAUCGGCGUCAGCAGUUGAGGAUGAGUUGGUUGUGCCUGUAUCGGCGUCAGCAGUUGAGGAUGAGUUGGUUGUGCCUGUAUCGGCGUCAGCAGUUGUGGAUGAAUUGGUUGUGCCUGUAUCGGCGUCAGUAGUUGUGGAUGAGUUGGUUGUGCCUGUAUCGGCGUCAGCAGUUGAGGAUGAGUUGGUUGUGCCUGUAUCGGCGUCAGCAGUUGUGGAUGAAUUGGUUGUGCCUGUAUCGGCGUCAGUAGUUGUGGAUGAGUUGGUUGUGCCUGUAUCGGCGUCAGCAGUUGAGGAUGAGUUGGUUGUGCCUGUAUCGGCGUCAGCAGUUGAGGAUGAGUUGGUUGUGCCUGUAUCGGCGUCAGCAGUUGAGGAUGAGUUGGUUGCAGAUUCAUCACCACCAUCAACAACGCUGAAGAACCGUGGAACACAGUGUAAAUGGAACCUACACCGCUCAAAAGUCCCCCAUCAGCUGCAUUGUGAGCAGAAGGGGAGUGCAAAUAUGAAGCAGGAGGACCCAGAGCCCAUACCGUUUAGAGAGGAACAGGUCUCUGAAACCUCAGUGUUCUUAUUCACGCCUUCCAGCGUGAAAAGUGAAUCUGAUAAUGAUCAAGACCCAUCUUAGGCUUCACAUCUUUACCAAACCCAAAGUGAAGAAAACCGAGAGAGUGACUGUCUACCCAACAACACAAGUGCAGAAAUCAAAACAGAAGUUGAUGGAGAGGACAUCAGAGUAUAGGAACCAACCGGUGACUCUCAGCCCCUCUGCAGCAAACCCAAAAUGUUCUGCAGUAAAGAGUGAAAACGGGGAUUGUGUUGAUGGGGAGGCAAGUGGAGGAUUUAUCUCAAAACUAAAGCCACUCGAAUCAAUUCGGGCUAAGAAAGAACAAAGCUUCUAAAUGUCUACCAAUGGCAGGAAAACCAGUGAGCUGAAAGUGCCAUUAGGAUCUAACACACGGGAGAGACCCUACGUGCUAUGUUUGCCAAAAAGGCUUUUGGACAGCAUACACUUUACAAGCAAAUGGAAUUAUUCACACAGAGGAGAAAUCGUUUCAAUGCGAAGACUGUGGGAAAUGUUUCAGCAGUAAGGGAAAACUGAAGAAACAUGUUAAGAUUCACACUGGGGAGGUGAGAUACAAAUCAGAGAGAAAAUAUACCUGUCCCGUAUGAAGAAAAGGCAUAAGCACAGCAUUCGGGUUUAAAAAUACAUCAGAGAAUUCACACAAGGGAGAAAUCAUUUCAGUGCCUGUUGUGUGGAAAUGUUACCCAUCAGCAAAUUAUCUUUAAAAAAAACACCAGCGCACUCGACAUUUCGGUGCAAUGAUUGCGGCAAGCACUACUGCUGCAAAAGCGCCCUGAACAUGCAUUUAAGGAUACACACGGGACAAAAAUGUUAUUGCGCAGAAUGUGGCAAAUAAAGUGCAUUCAAAAAGUAUUCAGACCCUUUGACUUUAUCCACAUUUUGUUACGUUUCAGCCUUAUACUAAAAAUGUAUUGGUUUUUUUCUUCAUCAUUCUACACACAAUAACCCAUAAUGACAAAGCAAUAUUUUUUUUUUUUUUUUGCACAUUUAUAAAAAAUAAAAAUAAAAUAAUAAUAAAUAUAUAAAAAUCACUUUUACAGAAGUAUUCAGGCCCUUUACUCAGUACAUUGUUGAAGCACCUUUGGCAACGAUUACAGCCUUGAUUCUUCUUUGGUAUGACAUGUCAAGCUUGGCACACCUGUAUUUGGGGAGUUUCUCCCAUUCUUCUCUGCAGAUCCUCACAAGCUCUUUCACGUUGGAUGGGGAGUGUCGCUACUCUCUCUACUUUGCUUGGUUCAUCUUCCCUCGAUCCUGACCAGUCCCUGCCACUGAAAAACAUCCCCACAGCAUGACACUGCCUUCACCAUGCUUCACCGUCGGGAUGGUGCCAGGUUUCCUCCAGAUGUGAUGCUUGGCAUUCAGGCCAAAGCUUUCAAUCUUGGUUUCAUCAGACCAGAAAAUCUGUCAGAUUGACCAUCAGGUUCUUGGUCACCUCCCUGACCAAUGCCCUUUUCCACAAUAACUCACUUUGGCCGGGUGGACAGUUCUAGGAAGAGUCUUGGUGGUUCCAAACUUCUUCCAUUUAGGAAUUAUGAAAGCCACUGUGUUCUUGGAGACUUUCAGUGCUGCAGACAUUUUUUUGGUACCAAUCCCCAGAUCUGUACCUCGAAACAAUCCUGUCUCGGAGCUCUACGCACAUUACCUUCGACCUCAUGGCUUGGUUUUUGCUCUGACAUGCACUGUCAACUGUGGGACCUUAUAUAGACAGGUCUGUCACUUUCCAAAUAAUGUCCAAUCAAUUGAAUUUACCACAGGUGGACUCCAAUCAAGAUGUAGAAACAUCUCAAGAAUGAUCAAUGGAAACAGGAUGCACCUGAGCUUAAUUUCGGGUCUCAUAGCAAAGGGUCUGAAAACUUAUGUAAAUAAGGUAUUUCUGUUUUUAUAAAUGUGCAAACAUUUAUAAACUUGUAUUUCACUUUGUCAUUAUGGAGUUUUAUGUGUAGAAUAUUGAGUAUUUCUUUUUAUUAAAUAUAUUUUAGAAUAAGGAGUAACGUAACAAAAUGUAGAAGAAGUCAAGGGGUCUGAAUACUUUCUGAAUGCACUGUACUUUGGUAGGAAGGCAAGGCUCACAGAUCCUUUGACAAUUCACACAGGGUAGAAAUCACACGCGCACAAUAUGUGGCCCAUGCUUUAAUGUAAAGUCAGCACUUAGAAAUCAUGUGAGGGUGCACACAGGAGAAAUCACAUAAAUGCACUUGGUGUGAAAAAUUAUUUAAAACAGCACCUGCUCUAAAACAACACUGACAAACCACACUUGUGCCUUUUGUGUGAAAAACACUUUAGAAUGACCAGUGAUCUUAAAUGCCACCAGCGGCGAAGUCAUUGAGAGAAACAAUUUCCAUGCCCUGGAUGUGGAAAGUGCUCAUGACGUUGACUAAACUUUAGCGGUCAUCAGCUAAUUCACACUGGAGAAGAACUGUGGCAAAUGCUUUAGUCAACAGGAGCACCUGGCAGGGCAAAGACUCAUACAGUAAAUAAAAAUACUAUUUAAAGAUCCUGUGCAAUAGAAAUCUUAAUAAUAUAACAACAAAUCAUUGCCUCAGUUUUAUUGGUCUAUAACAACAUUAAUGGUAUUACUUUACAAUGUGUCCCUAUGACCCAUGUAUUUAGAUGGUAGUUACAGUUGCGGUCAAAUAUAUUGGCACCUUUGCAUUAUUCACUUUCUUCUAAAAUAAAUUGAAAUUUAAAGAACGUUUGGCGUUCACACGUGUAUUUGCUUGAUUGACAACUUCACAGGACCAAGAAAAAUGUAUUGGGUUGGCAGAAAGUGAUUCUUGUUAACUGUGUAACUUAUCUAACCUGUGGUAAGUUGCAGAUGGCUACAGGGUAAAAAUAGCCAUUCAAUCAGUUCUAUUACACUUGGUUUGAUUUACAACUCUGCACAUGCAAAUGAAGCAAAUAUUUCCUUAACUUACCUCAUUUGCACUCACUGUAUAUAGACUUUUUGUUUUCUUUUGUUCUACUGUAUUAUUGACUAUGUUUUGUUUAUUCCAUGUGUAACUCUGUGUUGUUGUAUGUGUUGAAUUGCUAUGCUUUAUCUUGGCCAGGUCGCAGUUGCAAAUGAGAACUUGUUCUCAACUAGCCUACCUGGUUAAAUAAAGGUGAAAUAAAUUAAAUAAAAAUAUAUCACACGGUACUCAAUGA